GGUAAGGUAAGUGGAGGUAAGGUAAGGCAAGGGAAAGCAAGGUAAGGUCAGGUAAGGUUAGGUAAGGUAAGGACAGGUAAGGUUAGAUAAGGUAAGGUCAGGUAAAGUUAGGUAACGUAAGGACAGGUAAGGUUAGAUAAGCUAAAGGCAGGUAAGGUAAGGUAAGGUCAGGGCAGGUAAGAUAAGGUAAAGUAAGGUUAAGUAAGGUAAGGUAAGGUAAGGUAAGGUAAGGUAAGGUUAGGUUAGGUUUGGUGAGGUAAGGCAAGGGCAGGUAAGGUAAGGUAAGGUAAGAUAAAGUAAGGUAAGGUUAGAUAAGGUAAGGAGAGGUAAAAUAAGGGCAGGUAAGGUAAGGGCAGGUAGGGUAAGGUUAGGAGAGGUAAAGGCAGGUAAGGUAAAGUAAGGUUAAGUAAGGUAAGGUAAGGCAAGGUAAGGUAAGGUAAGGGCAGGUGAGAGCGUGAGCCAGCCAGGUAUUCAAAAGAGGUCGAUUGCACAGGUGAACGAGGGGGCAGUGUCCUCUCUCUCUCUCUCUCUGU